AGUAACAAAUCUAAAUGAUAGACUCAUCAUAUAUCAAAACAAAACAUUUCAUCAUAAAGUAUAAAGGCUAGCUUUGUGCCAGGAGAUUAGUCAGUCGGGUCAAUCAGUAGUGGUGGAAUUGUCCACACCCUCACUCUCUCUCACCUAAAACGCAAGCCUCACCUCGGUACCUGAACCUCACCACCCUCCUUGCCGAUUUUUCUCUCCUCCCACUUAAGUGACAUCACCCAAAUUCGUCGCCUGAAUCUCGAAUCUACCCACACCAGUCCUCAUUCCUCACUCGUGAGUCCAUCACCUGAAUCGCUACUUCACCCACUGCCCAUACCACCUGAAUACGGCUCAUGAGUCGAGCUCUCGGUCUUAGUCCGCACUCCUCCUCCCUGCACAAGGGAUUUUGAAUAGGGUCUCUGAAUUAGGGAUUUUGAAUCGACGGAGUGGUGAAAAAUAUUUAUUUUUCUCAUGCUAAAAUGGCAAGCUGCUGUUCUGGGCUUCUUGGGCUUCGAAGCGUCUAGAGUUUUGGACCAAUUAUCGGCGGCAAUCAUCGUGAGCCGGUCCAGCUGAAUCUCCGACAGCGUUAUCGAGCUAGGAAGCGCCGAACCGGGCUUGGCCUUGACCGGGUACUCGAGCGGGUACUCGGCGACAUGGUGGCGCUUGAAAUCGUAUGGCCCUGUUCCGUACACCUUCGUCAUUGCCACUCGCUCACUGAUCUGGUUGUAUUGAGGUGGAAUUGUUUAUGGUUAAUGUGCUUACUCAUGAUGUCAAAAUUUGAAUGAGUCGUAAAAAUAGGUUGUGAUGUUACAUUGAUUUGGAUACUAGCCAUCUUCUUCGGUGCAUCAAACUAAUGCGAUUUUGUGGAUCAGGAUUAACGCCAAAGGCAGAGUACCGAAUGAUUGGAGCGGUUGAAGUUCGUUCCAUGGCAGGAGUUGAGACCGUUGUUGGUUGUACAGUAAAAUUCUAGUAGUUGGAUCGAAGUUUCGCGAGGAUUGGAUGGACCCUUCGCCUCCUCCUCGAACUCUCUGUGAUUCUAUCGCUUGAUAAUUCACUUUCUUCAUUAUAAUGUUUGUAAGUAUAUAUCAACAAUAAAUUUUGUUUUCAGACCAGAACAUGUUCUUUACAUCAUAUAUCAAACCUACAUACGCAUCCAGGACACUAUUACUGUAUUACAUAGGAAGCUUAGAGAAAUCCUAACCCUUUUUGGGUCAUUUCCAAAUAUUUAAACUUGGGCAGAAGACAACUUAAUAUAUAAGAUUUUACUUGUCAAAUCAUUUUCGGAGGUGUCAGAUUUUUACCUUACCUUUUGGAUCUGAGAAUCACGUGGUAUUCGCACAAUUUUCAGCCCUUGAACUUGUGAUUUGAGCCGCUCUUCGAUAUCAUCGUCGUUAAUCGAGGAACUAAACGGGACGAAGGUUGAACUUUACCUCUGAAGUGUUAUUGGGCCAGGAUUUGGGACGGAGAUCUGACAUGCACACGUUAGGGAUGAGAGAGAAAUGGGGAUUAAACCCAGAAGGUGGGAUCAUCCGAAUAGCAAGGAAGAAGAAGAGGGGAAAGAGAGAUGAGGUUUUAAAUGGGGUGAAGAAGAGAACCAGCUGAGACAGAGAAGCAAGCUUCCCUCCAUAGUUGAGGUUCAGGCCUGUGGGAGAGGAACUGCAGAGAGAAACUCUGUUCAGCUAGUACCAUCUCUCUGCAACGGACACCCGUUCCCCAACUCUUGUUAGGAUGCAAUCGGAGCUUCGGGUUUCAGGAAGCAAACGAAAACGAAGUGCGUUUCCAUCCCCACCCUUUCUAUGAUGGUCGACACGUGCAUGGUUGAAGGGGUGGCAAUUAUGUAAAUAACUCAAAAUCCACGUAAGUCACUGUUUAUUUGAACAGUGCAAUUGAAAACCUUACUUUAGACUAAAGCAAUUGUAAAACUUCUAGUAUGAAAUUCAAGAGGUAUUACUUUCGAUCCAACAAAUA